GAGGCACAGUACGUUGUAGACCGACAACCCUUACGCGUGUGUAGCGAUGCUUCGUCGUAACUGAUCAUCGACUUUUCAUUCUCUCUUCCUCUCUCUUUUUCUAUAUCUAUCUUUCUCCCUUUCUCCUUUGUUCCUCUUUCUCUCUUUCUCUCUUUUUCUCUAUUUUCUCUCUCUCUUUCUCUCUCUCUCUCUUUAUAUAUAUAUAUAUAUAUAUACACACAUAUAUAUAUAUAUAUAUAUAUAUAUAUAUAUCCCGUCUUUCUCCGUUUUAAUCUUUUUUCGACCUUCUCCCACUUCCUACGAGCUACGUUACCUCUCAGUCUGUUUCUUCGUCGAUGAGAAUCGUUAUUGACGAAGAGUGACGACGCGUCGUCGUUUCCCCUCGUCGUGUUAGACAAUAUUUAAGGACGCGUGCUGGACAAAAAAAAAACGAAACGUUAGCUCUCUACAUUCGGGAAAAGUAAGGUUCACGUGGAAAAAGAAAAAUGGAGGAAAUUAACGGGAGGGUAGGAAAGAAGCACGAAGAGGUGGAUGCUGCAACCCUCAGCGCCGAUCUCCUCAAUCCUUUCGUUCAUCGACUCGAACUCGACACGACCUACGAUAAACUCAAGACGGCAUUCCUGACGGUAGCUCUGUUACCAUUAAGGCUAGCUGCGAUUACUGUUUUAGUAAUAAUGGCCUGGCUUUUAGCUUGUUUGGGUCUCUAUGGACUUUCUGAGGAAGAUUUACGUCAAGCGCCUCUUAAAGGAUGGAGACGAGACAUGCGCAUCGUGAUCUGCUGGAUGAUGCGAGCAUUAUUCGUCUGUGGCGGAUUUCAUCAGCUGAAGGUGAAAGGUCAAAAAGCGGAAACAAAGGAUGCUCCGGUGCUAGCCCUUGCACCACACUCGAGCUUCUUCGAUGCACUUCCGGUCGUUUACCUUGGUGGACCGAGCAUAGUCGCCAAAGGAGAGACGGGCCGCAUUCCAUUCUUCGGAAAGCUCAUCAAUUACACGCAACCGGUCUAUGUAUGGAGAGAAGAUCCUAAUUCACGACAGAAGACGAUAAAGGAAAUAAUCGAACGUGCUACUUCGAAAGAAGAUUGGCCACAGGUAAUGAUUUUCCCAGAGGGUACCUGCACAAAUCGUUCGUGUCUGAUAACUUUUAAGUCAGGUGCUUUCUACCCAGGCGUACCUGUACAACCAGUGUGUAUAAGAUAUCCUAAUAAACUAGAUACAGUUACAUGGACAUGGGAAGGUCCCGGAGCUUUAAAAUUAUUAUGGCUCACGUUAACCCAGCUGAAUAGUAGUUGCGAAAUUGAAUUCCUUCCUGUCUACAAGCCAAGCGAAGCAGAGAAAACAGAUCCCAAACUUUAUGCAAAUAACGUUCGCCGUGUUAUGGCAGAAGCAUUAAAAAUCCCUGUAUCAGAUUAUACUUAUGAUGAUUGUCGAAUUAUCAGCAAGGCUCAUCAGUUACAUAUACCUCAUGCAUCCACCAUAAUAGAAGCUCACAAACUUCGAAAUAAACUUGGUUUGGCAGCAUCGAAAACCGAAGAAGAGCUUCUAGGGAAAAAAGCAGAAAAAUUCGGCGAGGAAGUAAAUUUGCAAGAAUUCGCACGGAUUCUUAGACUCGAUGAAAAAGAACCGACUACUCAGCAACUCUUUCGAAUUCACGAUCGAAAUGGCAAGGGCACGAUAGAUCUUGAAGAAUAUAUAUUCACGAUACUGGCAACGACAAAUGCUAAUUGUGAAUUGGAUAUGGUUGAAAUCGCGUUAGACGUUUGCGGUUCUAAAACAUUGGAGUGUGUUAAUCUAGCGGAACUUAGAAAAGCUUUGAGGUUGUCAUUGCACUUACAAUCGGAGGAUGUUGAUAAAAUUUUCCAACAAGCUUGCAAUAAACCUGGUGACAACGUAGUAACUUACGAGGCCGCGCUUGGUGUAUUAGCUACACGAGCAGAAUUUUCGCAUCUAUUCACUGGGAAUUCUGAGACAAGAAAAAAGAAGACCAUUUGAGAGUGUGUCUUGGCCGCGUCUCGUAUUCCUCGAAGAAUUAGGGAGCAACGUGACUCCAAUAGGCCACUUCUCAGCCAAAUUUGUUCUAGCCCUGUAUAACUAGGCAUGCAGAAUCCUUGCUGUGAGACUGGAAGAUAAGUCGGACGUAUCGUCCAUAGGAAACAUUAUUUAGUCCUAUAAUCGCUUUAGAUUGCUCAGGGUUUGUAAAAUGCGAAAAUUAUUGAAUGAGUGCUCAAUUAUUUUAUGUUUGUGGAAAUUAAUCACAAAGAUCUGCUCGAUCACUUGAUCGAGUUUCUAGUAAAUUAAAGUAUACUAAUUAUGAGUACCUAGAAGUUGAACAUGCAUUUAGAAUAAAUAUGUUAUAAAAUUUAUUCUUUGCUCGAUAACAAUACAUACUA